rnacentral:rRNA from 1 species
CCUACGGGGGGCUGCAGUGAGGAAUAUUGGUCAAUGGACGAGAGUCUGAACCAGCCAAGUAGCGUGAAGGAUGACUGCCCUAUGGGUUGUAAACUUCUUUUAUAUGGGAAUAAAAUGUUCCACGUGUGGGAUUUUGUAUGUACCAUAUGAAUAAGGAUCGGCUAACUCCGUGCCAGCAGCCGCGGUAAUACGGAGGAUCCGAGCGUUAUCCGGAUUUAUUGGGUUUAAAGGGAGCGUAGGUGGAGUGUUAAGUCAGUUGUGAAAGUUUGCGGCUCAACCGUAAAAUUGCAGUUGAAACUGGCAGUCUUGAGUACGGUAGAGGUGGGCGGAAUGCGUGGUGUAGCGGUGAAAUGCUUAGAUAUCACGAAGAACUCCGAUUGCGAAGGCAGCUCACUGGGCUGCAACGGACGCUGAGGCACGAAAGUGUGGGGAUCAAACAGGAUUAGAUACCCCUGUAGUC